rnacentral:rRNA from 1 species
UACGGAGGGUGCGAGCGUUGUCCGGAAUUACUGGGCGUAAAGAGCGCGCAGGCGGCUGGUCAAGUCCGAUGUGAAAGCUCCCGGCUUAACUGGGAAAUUGCAUCGGAAACUGAUCGGCUGGAAGGUGGGAGAGGGUAGCGGAAUUCCCGGUGUAGUGGUGAAAUGCGUAGAUAUCGGGAGGAACACCAGUGGCGAAAGCGGCUACCUGGCCCAUUCUUGACGCUGAGGCGCGAAAGCUAGGGGAGCAAACGGG